rnacentral:rRNA from 1 species
CCGACCGUCGCAGCACUACGAGCACCCNCGGGCGCCAAGCUGCGACGAGUAGGAGGGCCGCCGCGGUGNGCAUUGAAGCCUGGAGCGCGAGCUUGGGUGGAGCCGCCGCGGGUGCAGAUCUUGGUGGUAGUAGCAAAUAUUCAAACGAGAACUUUGAAGACUGAAGUGGAGAAGGGUUUCAUGUGAACAGCAGUUGAACAUGAGUCAGUCGGUCCUAAGAGAUAGGAGAACUCCGUUCUGAUGCGGGGGCAAUGCCGAGAAUUCAAUCAUUGACAUUCGUUGCCCGUCUUCUAUCGAAAGGGAAUCGGGUCAAUAUUCCCGAACCUGGACACGGAGAUUGGCCCUCACGGGUCACGUGCGGUAACGCAAACGAA